UUUGAAAAUGAUGAGAAUAUUUUGCAAAUUAACAGUUAUCCCUGUCUGAAUGGGUACUUUAUAAUGGUAACACACAUGUGUCGAUACUUUUUACUCUGAGUUCGAA
rnacentral:snoRNA from 1 species